CCUACGGGAGGCAGCAGUGAGGAAUAUUGGUCAAUGGGCGAGAGCCUGAACCAGCCAAGUCGCGUGAGGGAGUACUGCCCUAUGGGUUGUAAACCUCUUUUGUCGGGGAGCAAAAGCCGGACGUGUCCGGCUGUGAGAGUACCCGAAGAAAAAGCAUCGGCUAACUCCGUGCCAGCAGCCGCGGUCAUACGGAGGAUGCGAGCGUUAUCCGGAUUUAUUGGGUUUAAAGGGUGCGCAGGCGGAUUUUUAAGUCAGCGGUAAAAUCGUGGGGCUCAACCCCAUCCAGCCGUUGAAACUGGGGAUCUAGAGUGUGCGAGAGGUAUGCGGAAUGCGGGGUGUAGCGGUGAAAUGCAUAGAUAUCACGCAGAACCCCGAUGGCGAAGGCAGCAUACCGGUGCACAACUGACGCUCAGGCACGAAAGCGUGGGUAUCGAACAGGAUUAGAUACCCCGGUAGUC
rnacentral:rRNA from 1 species